CACAGUACUGCAAUUUCUUUCUCCAAAUAUGGUUGUAAAGAGUCUCAAAUGUGAACUGAAAGUCAACACUUAGUCAUGUUUUCAUUUCAAAUGACAAUCAAUGGCUAGAAACAUUAUAAUCUCGCAAUGCACACUAUAGUAACACCACAUUGUAUUUGUUUCAGUUUUCCGUCCUAUUGCUAUGUCCUUGAAUAUGAUUUAAAAAGGACAAUAUUGAGAUUUUGAAUGACCAUUUUUUUGCAUGUGUGGGAGGGACAUUGGGUCCCUUAAAUGUAACGUUACCGAUCAGACCAAAACAAGGUUAAUGUCAGGUCUUUGCAAUAUAAAACAAUUAUCCGCCUACAUAGAGACCCUUCCUUAUGAAUAAUGUCUGUCAAUUGUACUUGAUAUUCUUGUUAUAUGCUACUGUGGAGGCUUUGUUGUGCCUGUAAACACACCCAACAGUGAUGUCUGAGAGUACUACACACCAUGUAGUACACUUGACAUGACUCCAGCGAGUGAUUAAACCUCUUUGGGUCAGCAUAAAUUACAUCUUCGGGCAUUCAAAUGUAUCCAGACCCUUUGAUUGAAACUGAGAUACCUUAGCAACUGAUACACUGUCAUUAACCUUUGUGCACAUUCACAUAUUUCUACAGCUAUUGCAACCACUUGGUGAACCUAGCCUUUCCUCAAGCACCAUCAACAGGCGCAUGCUUCCACACCGCCGGGUCAGCGAGGUCCACCAGGGCUUUGGCGUUGAGAAGGCCGAAGCCGAAGCGGCUGUUGACCAUUAGCCCCGCUCCGUUCCUCUUCCAGCCCGGGUUAUUGGCCAGAGGAUCGAACUCUGAGGUCCAGACCACAAUGUGCUGCAGGUCUCUCCAGGUAAGUUCUGGACUGAAGGAGGGAAGAUAGACAUGGAGGGAGACCAUCUCCACUGCUGUAGGCUGUAGCCAGGGUGGAGGAGCACUUCUCUGCGUACCAGGGGGACAGACCCUGCUGGGAGGCACUGCUGAUUGAGAUGGUGUAUAUGCUGUCUGUGUAACCAUCACAGUCACAGUUAUCGCCCUGGCGCCCACCAUUACCUGAAGCCCAAACAAAGAUAGAGCCUUUCCCACCACGGCCCUGCAGGAGACGAAGAGAGAGAGAGAUGAAGUCGACAAGAAACACUACAAAUCUUACUGCAUAUACUAAGUUCUACUACAGCAUUACAAAUAAAGGGUCCAAGGUAAA